rnacentral:tRNA from 1 species
GCCCCUGUGGUGAAAUUGGUAGACACGCAGGUCUUAGGAACCUGUGCGAUAGCAUGUCGGUUCGAGUCCGACCGGGGGCA